rnacentral:rRNA from 1 species
GGAGUAUAGUCCUACUUGGAUAACUGUGGUAAUUCUAGAGCUAAUACACGCAAACAAGCUUCAGUCUUACGGCUGUAGCGCAUUUCUUAGUACAAAACCAAUCGGGCCUCGUGCCCGUUGUUUGGUGAAUCUGAAUAACUGAGCCGAUCGCACGGUCUCUGCACCGGCGACGUAUCAUUCAAGUGUCUGCCCUAUCAACUUUCGAUGGUAGUUUAUGUGACUACCAUGGUUAUAACGGGUAACGGAGAAUUAGGGUUCGACUCCGGAGAAGCAGCCUGAGAAACGGCUACUACAUCCAAGGAAGGCAGCAGGCGCGCAAAUUACCCAAUCUCAGUACGAGGAGGUAGUGACGAGAAAUAACGAGGCGGCGCCCUUCUGGGGCUCGCUAUCGGAAUGAGAACAAUUUAAAACCUUUAACGAGGAUCUAGCGGAGGGCAAGUCUGGUGCCAGCAGCCGCGGUAAUUCCAGCUCCGCUAGUGUAUACCACGAGUACUGCGGUUAAAAAGCUCGUAGUUGGAUCUGCGACGAUGGAUGUGGGUCCACCUGAUGGGUGCGUACUUACGUCCGCGUCUUGUUUGUCAGUAUUUCCCAGUGUUCCUUUUACCGGGCGCACUGGGAGACCGACGCUUUUACCUUGAGAAAAUUGGAGUGCUCAGAACAGGCGCUUGCCUGAACAGUUGUGCAUGGAAUAAUGGAAUAGGAUCUUGGUCCUAUUUUGUUGGUUUUAGGGAUUGAGAUAAUGAUUAAGAGGGACAGACGGGGCCAUUCGUAUUGCGACGUUAGAGGUGAAAUUCUUGGAUCGUCGCAAGACGGACAACUGCGAAAGCAUUUGGCAAGAAUGUUUUCAUUAAUCAAGAACGAAAGUUAGAGGUUCGAAAGGCGAUCAGAUACCGCCCUAGUUCUAACCGUAAACGAUGCCAACUAGCGAUCCGUCGAUGUUGUUUUCUGACACGACGGGCAGCUUCCCGGAACGAAAGUCUUCCGG